UAGUGAUAGUGUAAUAGCUCCU
rnacentral:rRNA from 1 species